rnacentral:rRNA from 1 species
CCUACGGGUGGCAGCAGUGGGGAAUAUUGCACAAUGGGGGAAACCCUGAUGCAGCGAAGCCGCGUGAGUGAAGACGUAUUUCGGUAUGUAAAGCUCUAUCAGCAGGGAAGAUAAUGACGGUACCUGACUAAGCAGCCCCGGCUAACUACGUGCCAGCAGCCGCGGUAAUACGUCGGGGGCCAGCGUUCUCCGGAUUUACUGGGGGUAAAGGGAGCGUAGGUGGCAGGCCAAGUCAGAGGUGAAAACCCGGGGCUCAACCCCGGGAUUGCAUUUGAAACUGUCCAGCUGGAGUGCAGGAGAGGUAAGCGGAAUUCCUAGUGUAGCGGUGAAAUGCAUAGAUAUCAGGAGGAACACCAGUUGCGAAGGCGGCUUACUGGACUGUAACUGACACUGAGGCACGAAAGCGUGGGGAGCAAACAGGAUUAGAUACCCUAGUAGUC